rnacentral:snoRNA from 1 species
UGUUGACUAUGAUGAUCUGCAAAGAUAUUUGCCUACAUUGUUUGAUUCUCAUCUAUGAUACAAGAACUUUCGCAAACUUCUGAAGCAUCU